rnacentral:lncRNA from 1 species
UUUAAAUUAUAGCGACACUCUUUAACUGCUAUUAUAUAGCUAGCGACCCAACGUAUAGCAACACUUUUUAAAAGUGUCGGUAAUUUAGCCAGCAGCACUUUUUUUUACAUGUACCGAUAUUUAAAAGUGUCGCUAUGUACCGUUUUUGUUGUAGUGAAAUUUUAAUAUUUUCAAAUAUAUCUCUCUGAUUUGAUACCGUUAUAUAAUUGUUUAUAUUUUAAGUGAAAUGUCAUUUUUGUCAUCACAAGUAUGCUCCUUUAAAGCUACAAAAGUAUAAUACAAGAGGGACAAAAAUUCGAGUUAUUUCAUAAACUAAUUAGGAUUAAGCAUUUAACCUAUAGUUAAACUAAAGUUUUUUAACGGAUUUUAAUAAUAGAGACAUAUUUGAAAAUAUUAGAAAUUUUGCAGGAACAACAUAUAAAAGUUGAAAUUUAUAGAGAUAUAUUUGAAAUUUACUAUAUUUAUAGAAAUCUGUAUAAAAUUAACCCUAAAAAAACUGUAUUUUUAUAUUAGAGAUGAUUUUACCAUCAUAUAUAUAUAUAAUGAUAAAAUUUUAGAAAUGUACUUUUCAAUUGCAUACAACUAAAUAAAUUAUUUAUAGCUAAAAUACUUAUGAUUACAUCCAGCUAAAUAAGAUAUAUAUAGUUAUAACUGUUAUAUUUUUCAAAUUUAUGCAUCUUCAAUGGCAAUGUAUUUUUAAUUAUAUCUAACUAAAUAGCCUUUUAGCACAGUUUGUUAAGGUGGUAUCUGAGAUACAAAUUUCGAAUUUUAGUUGUUUAUAUAUAUAUAUAUAUAUAUAUUAAAAAAAAAGCGGGUACCUUUAUUAUUUUUUUAUGUAGUGCAGACUUAGGGAUGAUAGAUUGCUUGUAAUUUUUCCGUCAAAAUAUUUGUUUGCUAACAAAAUAUAAAAAUUUAGAAAUAAUUUUUUUUCCUUCUAAAUUUUUUUUAUUUAUUAAAUAAAAUAUCAUUCAUCAUUUAGCUGGGAUGUGUUACAACUUAAUUAAAUCCGGACAAUAUAAAAGAAAUUCCGCCAAUAUAUUAAAUGUUAUAAAAUUAAUAUUAAAAAAAAGGAAUUUGUGAUGCAAACAAGUGUGAAAAUUUAGUAGUGGCUGAAGCAUUUUACAUUGUUGUAAUAGCCUUUAAAUAAUAAAAAAAAAGGAAAAAAUUUAGGAGGUGUUAUGCCCCUACAAUAUUAUAUGCGGGUUCCAAAAUGGCCACGUCAAUUUUAUUUUUAGGUUAAUUUGCAAAAUACCUCGUGCAUUCAAAAGCGAGUUGACUAUCGCAUAAUUGAUUAAAUUGCGUGUUUAAAUCAUUAUAUAGAUAAAACAUUGAUCAAUCCUUAACUGUCGACCUCCGGUCCAUUAAUUCUUGAAUAAGGUUUGCUAGAUCCACGUAAGACGAGCCACCCGGCUCCAUUGCCCUCUUCGCGGCCUCUCCUAGCUCUCUUGCGCGCCUCCGCGUCUCCGCCGCUUCCUCUCCUAGGCCUCCGCCAAUAGCCUUCCUUACCACGGUCUCGAUUUGCGCGCCCUCUAUCACUGGCCUUUCAGAGGAGAGAAGGGCGAACUCCGUCGCCCUGACCGACACGCCGAUCCGGAGUGCGUCGACGAUGAGCCUCUCGUUGAAGAACUGCUUGGCGUAGAGCGGCCACGCGACCAUCGGCACGCCGGCGACGACCCCCUCAAGACAUGAGUUCCAGCCGCAGUGGGUGACGAACCCCUCGACCGACGGGUGGGCCAGUAUCAGUGUCGCAGGGACCACCCCUUCAGUACUAGGCCCCUAUCCUCCACUCGUUCCCUGAAUCCACGUCGCAGCCAUUCAGCAUCAUCGUCGUCAGAAUCCCUGACGACCCAAAUAAAAGGAUAGUCGGACGCUUCGAGGCCAAAAGCCAGCUGGGCCAGCUGGGCUGCCUCGAGCCGACCCAUGCUCCCGAAGCACACGUAGAGAACCGAACCGGGCUGGUUCUGAUCGAGCCAUUCUAGAAGGUAAGAACUCGACCCGGUUGGUUCAUGUGCCUGCUCUUUUCGUUCUUGUGCUUCGUUUUCCUCUUUUUGUUUUUCUUUCGGGCGGAGUCUCUUCUGAAGGAGGGCUCCGUCCCGACCGAAGAGUGCGAUGGGGCCCACGUGCCACGCGCGGUGCCCCAUCGUCUCUCUAAAGUGGCGGACGUAGUCGGGCUCGAGCUCGUAGUUGUUCACCACCGCGCCGUAGCUCCGCCCCUCCGUAGCCGUGAUCUCGCCGAGCAAUUCUCGGAACGCGGGGAGCAACUUGCCGGCGUCCUGCAUUUGGGAGCGAAGCAUCACCACCCGGCGGGGGAGGCCGUUGAGGACGACGAUGUCGCCGCCGUCGAGCGGGGUGGCAGGGGCGGCGAUGGCGCAGAGGGAGAAGAAGCUGGUGCCAUGGAAGACGAGGCGGGGGAUGCCGAGCUCCUCGGCUACAGGGAUCGUCCAGGGGAAGAAAUAGUCGGAGACGACGGCAUCGACCGGCCGUAUCUCGCAGAGGAGGCGGCUAAAAGGCUCACGGAGUCUGGGCACGGCGGCCGUGAACCUUCAUGAAUAGAUAAUUCAUUACUAAUUUUUUGCUCGCUUUGAUAUCAUAUAGAGAAACUGAGUAUUCUAUGCAGAUAUAAAUAUAUA